ensembl:lncRNA
GCACGAACAGCUCUAACUGCACUCACACAGGUCUAACUGCACUCGCACGAACAGCUCUAACUGCACUCACACAGCUCUAACUGCACUCGCACUAGCAGCUCAUACUGUGCGAUUUUGGCAACAACAUCGGACUCUGUCGUCUUUGCUGUUUCCUUUUUCUCUGCGGCGGUUGUAAACACUUCCUGUUCCAGCGCGGUUUCAUGUUCGCUUAGAUUAAAGUUUUGAAACUUUGGGACUACGUUGUUUACAUCGGUUUGAUCCUUAAACAAGACUUGGGUGAAGAAUUUCUGUUGGGAAUCCUCGACUUCACGCUGUCUGGAAGCUUCGCUCGAAGCAAAGUUAACGGAAAUGAGCUUCUUAUUUAUCACAUGUACAACAGUGCUGUUUUAGUGAACAUCAACGCACCUGCGGUUCGGCUGUAUAGGCAGGAGGCGGCAG